UAUAAAGAUGGAGACGAGCAUCUGUAUUUUACACAUCUUUGUUCUGCGUCAACUGGGAUUCUAAUUGUCCACUCACAAUUCUACUAUCUGUCGUAACUGCAAUCUGAGACAUAUCUACACCAUGAAGAUCGCCUAUAUCCUGUUUGCGCUGGUCAUUGUGACUGGCUUGCUGCAGUCUUCUGACGCGAGCCGGUGCUCUGAGCUACAUGUAUGCGGUAUGGGUCGCAAAAGGCAAUCCAAUGACGAAUUGGCUGAAUCUGACAUGAAGGCUGAGACAAGCGAAUCCGAAAGAGCCGAAAAUGAAUGAUAACUUAGCGUUUUGUUCAAUCGAUUUAGUAGAACCAAACCAAUAACUGUACCGUAAUCACAGUCAUCAAUCUUUGAAAAGUAAUGAACAUUUAAUAAACAGUUGAAAUCAAUAAGCAA